GUAACCACCCAGGGGGUGAGGCAGGGCAGCCUCUCAAACUGGGCAGCUGCUGAGGGCAGAGAGCACUUGCACGUGGAGUCAGUCAGGGAUGGACACACUGGGAUAGUCAGCCAGCUGAGAAUUCUGAUUAUUCUAAGUAGUUUGGGCAGUUAUUUUCAGGAACGAGUCAAACAAUUAAGCAGUACGGAUGGCAUUUUUGUACUUGGAAACUUCAGGCCCUUACUGUCACCCUGCUAAUUACAACUGUAUCCACAGUUGUGGUAAAUGGCCACAUCCCUCAGAAUUGCACCUGCAGUUACAGAACUGGGCAAGACUGAGAUGUGAGAUAAUGAGGAACCGUGUGCCAGGAGCUCCUGAGAACGUGGACAGGAGAACUGACUGCGUGGGAAGAUGAGCAGCCCUGAAGAUCCCAGAGCAGAGGGAGCAGAAAGCAAGUCAGCUUCAUGAGACAGCAAACAGAAUGUCCUUGGAGAAAGGCUGCAAGGAGAGACACAUAUUUGCACUCUGUUGCUUGGAAUGUUACAACCCCAGCUUCUCUCGAGAGUCCCUUUCUGAAA